CGGUGCUCAGUGAUACGGUUCACUAGACGACGUUGUCAACACGUAAUGGCGGCCAUUGUUUGACGUUGGAUUUGGCAUUCCACGCAGUAAAGAUGCAUUUAUGACAUUCUUGGAUGCUAAAACUUAAUGCCACACAACAUAAAAGGAUGGAGAAAGAUGUUCACUCUGGAUCAAAAAUUCAAAACAGAGGAUCUUUUUAUUCAAACAAAAAUACUUGUACAUUUAUGAUAUUCUGUACAUACAACAAGAAAACAGUAAUCAAAUGGAAUGUCCAGUGAUGUUGAAAGCAAAAUUAUUUUUGUUAACAGAAAACAAUAGGACUACAAUAUAUUAAGGAAGAAUAAUUUUACUGGAGGAUAAAAAAUUUAAUACCUGGAAUCAGCAAUUUACAAAAUGUAUAUGAAAUUUAUUAAGAGAGAUAUAUUCAUGUACAGAAUGGUAACCCCACCAAAUAACUCAGGUGGUUCAAGUGAUUAUUAGCAGACAUUUUUGUUUAACUAAUGUAGGAUUAAAUAAAUGAAGCUUUAGCAGACUAUGGGCUCCAAAGUGUAGUAAAAAGAGGAUUUUUAAAUAUGACAGACUCAUAAACAUUAAAAUGUGCAUAAGUGAAAUGUUACAAUAUUUAGUAAAACAUUCAGAUUAUUGACUCAAGUUGUUUUCAUGAAAUUUUUUAUCAAAACAAUAUCACUGUUAUAUAAUUAAUAAGAUUCCAUAUGUUUUAUUUUACCGGUAUACUUUUGACAACCGAAUAUAUCUUCCCUCAGCUCUGGCCUCAAGUGUUUCCCUUUUAUUUUGUAUGAGUGUAAUUUACAGAAAGCUCACUUUGCUUUUGGCCAAUUCAAGUUUUGCCUUUCCAGAAUUAUUGGACUCUAUUCAUGGAAAAUUAGACAUUUGCCCAUAUGUUGUAGAAGAACUCAAUUUUGCUUUAAUACUUUUUCAAGAAAUUGUAUCACAAGGCUAGAUUUGAUCAAAUAAUCUCACUUUUGAAUAUUUAUCACAUAUCACAUACUUAAAUAAUCUAGUAUGCUUAGAUUAAUUUCCUUCACUUUUGCCCUGUUGUUGAGAUUGGAGUGAAAUAAUUUAAUUAUUUUAUCCCUAUCAAUUUGGGGUUGCCUGGGGAUCUGUGUCCCAUUGGGACGGGCAUUUAACACUGCAUAACUAUAUCCUAUUACAAGUUAUGAUACAGCCAACCAUAUAACAUAGCCCCUGCCACUGAAAGGAGAAAAGAG